UGCUUCGUAGCUCAAAGGUAGAGCAACCGGCUGAUAACCGGUCGACACUGGAUCGUUCCCAGUCGAAGCAA
rnacentral:tRNA from 1 species